rnacentral:lncRNA from 1 species
GGCGCGUGGAGCACUUUCCAGUUUCAAUGGCUUUGAAGUGUAAAGAUGAGCAGCAGAGGGCUUGCAGAAGCACAUCAAUGGACACUGGAUCUUGCACAACAAUACCCUCAUCAAAAUGGUUUCCUUCAUCGUCGUUUCAUCUUCUUAAUUUCGCCUUCACCAAUACUCUACAAUUCAAGAAUGCAGCAACACUUACCAGAGAGUCAGACAGAUGCAUGAAUCAUGAUUCAGGAACACGACGUUGGCUGCAACGAAGUUUAGAGACAACAAAAGGGGAAGAGGAGUGCUUAGGCAGAGAGUCCAGCUAUAAAGAGAUGAUGAUACACCAAUUUGUAAGGCACCUAACUGCCCAACAUCCCAUUACAUGUUAUUUUUUAACUGCAAACACUGUCCAAAAAUCCAAAUUUAGUAGAAGCAUAUUCUUACCAACCCCACCCUUGAGGAAUUAACGGUUCCUUUCUUUGUCAACCAGCACAUCACAUUCUUUUUC